rnacentral:rRNA from 1 species
AUUGAACGCUGGCGGCAGGCCUAACACAUGCAAGUCGAGCGGAUGAAGGGAGCUUGCUCCUGGAUUCAGCGGCGGACGGGUGAGUAAUGCCUAGGAAUCUGCCUGGUCGUGGGGGAUAACGUCCGGAAACGGGCGCUAAUACCGCAUACGUCCUGAGGGAGAAAGUGGGGGAUCUUCGGACCUCACGCUAUCAGAUGAGCCUAGGUCGGAUUAGCUAGUUGGUGGGGUAAAGGCCUACCAAGGCGACGAUCCGUAACUGGUCUGAGAGGAUGAUCAGUCACACUGGAACUGAGACACGGUCCAGACUCCUACGGGAGGCAGCAGUGGGGAAUAUUGGACAAUGGGCGAAAGCCUGAUCCAGCCAUGCCGCGUGUGUGAAGAAGGUCUUCGGAUUGUAAAGCACUUUAAGUUGGGAGGAAGGGCAGUAAGUUAAUACCUUGCUGUUUUGACGUUACCAACAGAAUAAGCACCGGCUAGCUUCGUG